rnacentral:rRNA from 1 species
UACAGAGGGUGCGAGCGUUAAUCGGAAUUACUGGGCGUAAAGAGCUCGUAGGCGGCUUGGCAAGUCGGGUGUGAAAACUCCAGGCUCAACCUGGAGACGCCACCCGAUACUGCCAUGGCUAGAGUCCGGUAGGGGACCACGGAAUUCCUGGUGUAGCGGUGAAAUGCGCAGAUAUCAGGAGGAACACCGGUGGCGAAGGCGGUGGUCUGGGCCGGAACUGACGCUGAGGAGCGAAAGCGUGGGGAGCGAACAGG